rnacentral:rRNA from 1 species
CGCAGCCGCGGUAAUUCCAGCUCCAAUAGCGUAUAUUAAAGUUGUUGCAGUUAAAAAGCUCGUAGUUGAAUUUCGGGGUUAGCAGGUCGGUCGUGCCAUCGGUAUGAACUGGUCUCGCUGAUCCCUCCCUCUUGACGAACUGUGAUGCCAUUAAUUUGGUGUCGCAGGGAAUCAGGACUGUUACUUUGAAAAAUUAGAGUGUUUAAAGCAGGCUCACGCUUGAAUACAUUAGCAUGGAAUAAUGAAAUAGGACGUUUGAUCCUAUUUUGUUGGUUUCUAGGAUUGACGUAAUGAUUAAUAGGGAUAGUUGGGGGCAUUAGUAUUCAAUUGUCAGAGGUGAAAUUCUUGGAUUUAUUGAAGACUAACUACUGCGAAAGCAUUUGCCAAGGAUGUUUUCAUUAACCAAGAACGAAAGUUAGGGGAUCGAAGACGAUCAGAUACCGUCGUAGUCUUAACCAUAAACUAUGCCGACUAGGGAUCGGAUGAUGUUAAUUUUUAAUGUACUCA